ACUCCCUUCUUCUUUUCUAAUUCUUUCUUCCUGUAAUUUCUCUUGUUUUCAUACUUGAUUCUAUUGUGUAGGUUUAAUCAAAGAUGAGACUCCAACAAAAGCACCCAAUUCUGGUUGAUCCGAGGUAUGAAGAAUCCAAACUUGAACUUUCCAUGAAGUUUUCUAAGGCUUAACAUCUCAGAUGAAUGCCAAGGCUGCAGCCAUUGGCAAUACUUUUUGUAUGUUUAGCUACUUUUAAAGGAGGAAUGAUAAGUGUUUGAUGAUUUUCAGAGCCAAAACGACAUUCACGUGAAGCCCAACAACAUACAAACCGGAUUAUACGUGAAAGGACGCGGAUCCUUUCUCCAAACGGGUCGGGUAAUGUCGAUUCUUUAUUUUUUACAAAAUUACCCUUCCAAUUUCAAUAAACACUCUCCUUUACAGUU